ensembl:lncRNA
GAAUUCAAUACCUCCAGCUCCAGUUCCUCUGUGGAGUACUUCAUCAUCUGGCAUGUGACCUCAGAUCAUCUUCCAGGAAGAUUGUGGAUUAUGCAGAUCACCAAGUUGCAAGAGAAAGAAGAAAGCAGAGUACAGAAGAAAUCAGGAAAAAAACCUGGAUCCAUUUUUCUUUCCCUAAUGUAUUUCUUCUGUACCAAGUUAUUUCCAUGAUUCAUGAGAUCGGGCUUUUAAAUGGUCGAUGCAGAUCUGAGAGCUCACUAAUGAUGGAAAUUCUUUGAUGUGGCGGUUAAAGGAGAAUCCUCAGAACUAUGACACAUGGAUAAGUGGCUUACACUAUUGACAAUUUUCACGAUUCAUUUUGAGGAGAGAGACAAGUCCAGGUGGCUUGCUGCGGCGCUGCAGAGGGAAAACCAGAAUGGAUACUCUCUCGGGGAAGCAGAUCUGAGAAAAGACAACCUAGAAGGGGCUCGUGCACAUGUUGCAUUUUCUUCUCUGGAGUUUGUCAACCAAAUACAUCGCUUCACUCCCGUAAGAAAUGGACAAAGGUAAGAAGCUAAGAUUUUUUUUUUUUUAACUCUAAUUCUUAAGAUAACAGUAUUCAAAAUUCUGAAGUAGAUAUUUCUUAACUAGUUAAAAAAUGCUUGUAAGAACUAUUAGAAUUUGAUAUAUGUAACAUCGUGCCUAUAAAGUGUGCAAUUUGUUUUAUUCUAUGUACAUAUCUGGGAAAUCAUCAGCACAAUCAAGAUAAUGAACUAUCACAGCCCCCAAAUUGUCCCCUCUGUGCCCAGACAGCUGCUGAUCUGUGUUCUGUCCUAAGAUUAGUCAGAAUUUCUAGAAUUGUACGUAAAGGGAAUUCUAGAGUAUGUGCAGUUUUUUGUUUUUGUUUGUUUUUCUACUUCCUCAAAGUAGAGUUUUGAGAUUCACUCACAUUGUUUUGUAAUCGGUAACCAACUCCUUUUUUUGGAGAAGCAGUUCGUUGUAAGAAUAUAUCAACAUUCGUCCAUUUAUUUUGGUUGGGUAUUUGGAUUAUUUCUAGGUUGUGGCAGUUCUAAGUAGAAGUGGUAUCAGCAGUCAUGAAGAAGUUUUUUGUGUGAGCAGAUGCUUUCAUUUCCCAGGAGUAAAUACCUUGAAGUGGAUGGUGGAUUGUGUAUCAUUUCUAUCUUUCAACUUUUAAGAAGCUGCAAAAAUAUUUUACUGUUUUUCUCAUUAUUCAUUCCACAGUUUGAGAGUUGCAUUUUCUUCAAAAUCUCGAUAAACUUGGUAUGAUGAAGCCUUUCAAGUAUUCAUCUCUUUAACACGUGCAUGUCCUUUUCCCAUAGUUUGAAUUCACAUUUUCUUAAUUACUAAUGAUUUUGAGUAUUUUUUUACUUACAUAUUUGUGAUUCUCUAUCUACUUUGGUGUAUGAAGUGUUUAAGUAUUUGGCCCAGUAUUCUGAAUUCUUAGUCUAUAUAGAAAUUCUUUAUCUGAUACAGAACUUGGAAAUGUUUUCUACAGUCUGUAUGUUGUUUUUCAUUCUUACUGAAGUGUGUUUUAAAGAGUGGGAGUUGUUAAUUUUGAUGAAGUUCGAUUUAUAAACUUAGCUAAUUUUGCUUUUCUGAUUUUUUUUUUCCCCUAUUUAUGGAUCGUAGUUUGCUGUAUCUUUGUAUCCCUAGGGAUUUUGUAAUAGGAUGCCUUUCUGGAUUUUACUUUCUUGGUGCUGGAUACUUCAGUUUUCCUAUCAAUAUUUUGGUGCUCUGUUAGGAGAUGCACUUAAGUUAAUGGGAAGACUUUUAAAUCUUUGGGGUCUGUCUUCUAAAUUUUGUUAGGUGCGCAUAGGACAGUGGUUUAUUUAGCUAAAAUUUUACCCUGUUCUGAGGCAAAACUACUGAAUCCCAUAUCUAUGCCUCUUGAAUUAAGAGUAGGAGUUUUCUUUAAUACUUUUAGGUAGUUCUUUCUGGAUGUCAGGUAACUUCCUUACAUGUAUGUCUGAUGAUUCUCUAUAUGUUUCUAGAAUACUCCUUGGCAAAUCUCCCCUUUUUGGUAGGCUACCCAAUAAAUUCUAGCUGCCUUGGCUUCUCCAGACUUCCAGGUCCAUUUGCUCAACUGGAGAAGAUGAACGAGUUCCGCCUUUUCUCUGUACUAUGUUUCUUCUUCCUAUACUAGGACUAUGAUCUGCUCUCUGGGCAGUAAACUGGGACAAGAAAAGGGAUUAUUUCUUUUGUUUACCCUUCAUUGUGGGGUUGCUAAUACCUUAAUCUUGAAUUGUUACUUAGUAUUUCCUUUUUAAUUUUUUUUCCCAAGCAAAGGAUGGCUUUGAUAACCUUUACUCUUUCAUUCCCAAAGCGAAUGACCUAUUGACUUUCUAAUGCUAAAAAUAAGAGGAAUUCGAGGCACAUAAAUAUUACAUAUGAUUUCAGAGUUUAGUUAUGUGCUAUAUUAUUUAACUGACUUACAACUUUGACAAAAAUAUACAAUGAUGAUAGGUCUUCUAUAUUAAAAAAAAAGUGGCUGUUGUAGUAAUUUCACUUAAGUAUUAGGGGUUUUGACCUUAUUCACAAAAUCUCCAAGUCUCUAUUUUAUUUAUAUAUAUACUAUAUAUAUAUAUAGUUAUAUAUAGUUAUAUAUAUAUAAAUUAUGAAAAAGUAAUGAAUUAGAACUUGAUUAUACAUCAUGCCUUUUCAGGAAUAUAAUUCUUCAUAAAUCUGCAUUUUGUUCAAAGAAAUGCCGUUAGAGGGAUUGCAGCUGUUGGGGAAACCUAGAGGAAUCAAAUCCUACUUAGCCAAACACAGAGGAAUGGAAAAUUCAGUAUUUGUUUUUGUACCAAUUUUCCAUGUGGCGUACGAGCAUAAACAUGAUCUAGCCCAGAGCUGCCCAGUGUCAGCACAUCGAAUGGAUGUGCUACAGGUGGUGACAGAGAUGGUGGAGAUUCUGAUUUCCUGUCGCCCUUGACAUGGUCUUAGAGUCUGAAGAGGCUGAAAUUGAUAGAACUCCGUCUAGCCAUAAUUGACCUCAAUUUACCACAUUGUGCCUUAUAAAUGUUAUCUUUCCCUGCGUGUGCCGUGUUGUGGAAAGGGCAGGACACAAUACUGCAGCAGUUCAAUGUUUUCCUAUCUGUUUUAUCUUCUAUAAUGCUGUGCACAGUUGAUGGAUAUCUUGCUUUUCUUCAAGGGAUGACUGACUUGAUUAGACAAGGAAUGACCCAGUGGAAAGUAGAAGAAUGAGCUUUCUGUUACUGUCCUUCUAAACUCUAACGCUUUAGGGAGAUUUUAUUGUUACAAGGAAGCUUCUUCAUGGGUCUCUUGAUUAACAGACUUCUAUAGUUGAAGUAAAAAAACAAAACAAAACAAAAAAACAAAACUCUCUUUUUUAAAAUUUCCUGAAAAGAAUUUAAUUAUUGUAGAACAGAUAAGAUAGUAUGUACAAAUAUUUAAGUAGUUCACUAGGUUAUCUUAAGAGAAAAAAUGGGAACAUAAAUUUUGCCAUAGUUGUAAUUUAUAUCUAUACCUUCUUAUCAUAACUACAUAAGGAUUUAUUCCAUGAUCUGGAACUCACUGUAACUAUCUUCACAUAAGCUUUGAUACCAGAUGAGCAACAGAAAUGGAAAUGUAUAGGGAAGGGAUAUUCUUAUUUAGUAGAGGGAGAAGUCCGCUGAGUAGGCAACUGGAUGUCUUCUGGCCUUUUUGUUUGCAGUGACCGAAUAGAAGCAAACCCAGCAGUAUGCCUUUUGCUUUCAUGACUGAUGAUUCAACUUUAUUGAGGUAUAGGUGGCAGAUGAUGAACUACAUAGAUUUGAAAUAUACAAUUUGGCGUUUUGAGACACACACACACACACACACACACACACUUAUAUGUACUCAGGAAACCAUCACUGUCACCAAGAUAAUGCCCGUAUCUGUUACCACAAAGUUUAUUUGUGCUUCUUUGUAACCCCCCAACCACUGAACUUGAUCAAGACACUCAGGGAUCAGUGUUUCUGUUGUUUUAGAUUAGUUUGUGUUUCCCAUAAUUCUAUAUAAAUGUGAUCCUACAGCCCGUACCCUCUUCUGUCUGCCUUUUCAUUCAGCAUUAUUAUUUCAAGUUAUCCAUGAUGCUGCAUGUAUCAUUAGUUCAUUCCAUUUAUUACUGUGUUAUAGACCCUUUUCUGGACAUCUGUAAUUCAUUUAGGGUUCACUUGUUGAUGGACGUUUGGGUUGAUUCCAGCUUGGGGCUAUUACAACUAAGAAUGUGAUUAACAUUUGUGUACAAGUCUUUGUAGGAACACACGUUUUGAUUUAUCUUUUAAUCAUAUUGUUAGGACC